GCCCGGGACAGCUCACUUGAGUCCCGAAGUGGCCCUCGGGCCGCAAUACUUGCCCACCCCUGAACCGCAGGCUCAUGUCCCCCUUACUGAGGCACAGAACGAACACGGCAGGAGGGGAGAAGGUGUUGUCCUGUGUUUAAUGCGCCCGCCUGGGACCCAGAGACCUGGGGCGUGUUCCUGACCCUUCUGCCAACUUGCUGUAUAAUCCAGGGCAAGGUUUUGAGAACAGAAGAAUCCUGCAUUUGUGAGUGGAGAUCAGAUUAGAGGAUCUCCCAAAUCCCUCCCUACCCAACUUAAUGGAAAGGAGCUAGAUUAUAGUUGCAUAGCAACUCUGCUUCUGGCAUCUUGAUUUGCAACCUUUAAUUAACGUCGUCUUUGUAUGCAAUUAUAUUUUCUGUUACUCGUUUUUCACAUUAUUUAAAUAUGAGCUGGUCUUUGGAACAAGAAGCAUGUGAACAUCACAGUUAUUAUAAUUUGUCCCGUCCUGUGAUCAUUGGUUGCAAUAAUGUCUAUCUUUACUCUGUUUUGCCUGUAAAGAAAAUGGCCCUGAUUGGAUGUGGAAGUUUGCAAAGGCUGUAUACAAUGGCCUUAGCGUUCUCUCAGUUUUUUGCUGCACUUUGAGCAUUGUGUUAUUUUCCAUAGGACUCUUGUCUUUGAAGAUCCUACACCUGCCUCAUUGCAAACCAAACUGCCAUUUCAUUUUCUGCUAACGUUGCAUUACAGAACUGCUUGAAAUGUCCUAUUCAUUUGAGUAUGCUGUCAAAUUGGGACAUUGUCAGUAUGCCUCCCUCCUUGGUCUGUCCAAAGUGGCUGAGAUGUGAAAGGCUGGUGACCAGAGCAGCAAGCUCUUCUGCUGUUUAAUCACCAGUAACAUGGCUGCACUGCUUAAUGGUUCCCUACUAGGAGGCCAGCAGCCACUUACCCCAAGCAUUUGGCUCAGCAUGUGGACAUCAGCCAAGAGGAAAAUAAUAUUUCUGUUUCGACUGUACGGUGUCUGCAAGCAUAACAGCAACCUAGAGCAGCAACCUUUUAAGGCUGCGGACCGCAUUGUCCCAGUUCGGAUCAGAGUAGAUGGGCACUUGGACCCAGCCACAAUGGCCACUUUUCAUCACAGCAAGCAGAGACACUGCUGCCAAAACCCCAUGUCCCCCAAAGCUGGAUCCAAUGGGUCUGUGGGCUGCAUCUGAUCUUUGAGACGUAAGUUGUUGAGCCCUGAUUUAGAGCAUCUAUCAUGAUGUCUGAGUUCUCAGUAUAUGUCACCAUUUUAGUUGCAACACCAUUAAAUUAAGUAGAGUCAGAAUUGUCCUAUGUAAUUGGCAAUAUCCCAUGAUGAAAAGCCUGCAUUUAAUACCCACUGAGCAUGUCUACAAAUGUAUUAAUGCACCGUUGCUUCUGUGCAUUAAGUUUAGGACCUCCAAUAUGAGGUACUACAUAAAUGCACUGUAGCUGGCACUAAUAUGCGGUAGCAAAAGCACACUGUCGUUUUGUGAUGUUUAAUGUGCAGAAAGCUAGUUCUACUGCAUUAGCACAAUUUUUGCCAUGACACACUAAUGCAUAGUAGACUAAUUUUACUGUGCAUUAAGUGUCUUGUGUUGACACACCCACUUACUCUGUGGUUAUUCUGCUUGCAUCUAAAUGGAAUAUGUAACUUUGCUAUUUUCCACGUGUUUAUUUCCCCCUCAUCUAAAACUCUCAGUUUUUUCUUUUACUUUAAAAACCUGGCAUUUUUCUCAGAAAGUUCAGACAUUAGCAGAUAUGAAUAAAUGUUUCAGAUUCCUAAAACUGUAUAAAUAA
rnacentral:lncRNA from 1 species